rnacentral:rRNA from 1 species
AUGGCAUCCAUGGGCCGCUUUACAGUGGGUUCUCAUGUUUGGGUCGAGGAUGCUGAUGUUGCUUGGAUUGAUGGUCUGGUGGAGGAGGUCCAUGGGGAUGAAUUAAUAAUAAACUGCACUUCUGGGAAGAAGGUUACUGCCAAUGUGUCAAGUGUCUAUCCUAAGGAUGUAGAAGUAAAACGCUCUGGUGUUGAGGAUAUGACAAGGCUAGCUUAUUUACAUGAACCAGGAGUUCUCCGGAACUUGAAGUCAAGAUAUGGAAUGAAUGAAAUAUAUACUUAUACUGGGAACAUACUGAUAGCUGUAAAUCCGUUUCAAAGACUUCCUCACCUCUAUAAUGAUCAUAUGAUGGAAAUGUACAAAGGAGCCGAAUUUGGUGAGCUGAGUCCCCAUCCUUUUGCCAUGGCAGACCGUGCAUAUAGGCUUAUGAUGAAUUAUGGUAUCAGUCAAGCCAUUUUGGUGAGCGGCGAAAGUGGAGCUGGUAAGACAGAAAGCACUAAAAUGCUUAUGCAAUAUCUUGCUUUUAUGGGUGGCAAAGUUGAAUCUGGUGGGAGGUCAGUGCAACAACAAGUGCUGGAGUCCAAUCCUGUUCUCGAGGCAUUUGGAAAUGCAAAAACAGUCAGGAAUAAUAAUUCGAGUCGUUUCGGCAAAUUUGUUGAGCUCCAGUUUGAUCAGAAUGGGAAGAUCUCAGGAGCUGCUAUAAGGACUUACCUUUUGGAAAGAUCUCGUGUCUGUCAAAUAUCUGACCCAGAAAGAAAUUAUCACUGCUUUUACAUGCUAUGUGCUGCACCACCAGAGGACCGUGAGAGAUAUAAAUUGGGAGAUGCCUCAUUGUUUCACUAUCUCAAUCAGUCUAACUGCAUUAAGCUUGAUGGAAUGGAUGAUUCUUCAGAAUAUAUAGCAACCAGGAGAGCAAUGGAUAUUGUAGGCAUUAGUUCUGAUGAGCAGGAUGCCAUAUUCAGAGUUGUAGCUGCUAUUCUUCAUCUGGGCAAUGUGGAAUUUUCAGAAGGGAGCGAAGCAGAUUCUUCUGUACCCAAAGAUGACAAAUCCCAGUUCCAUCUCCGGACAGCUGCGGAGCUUUUCAUGUGUGAUGAAAAGUCUCUGGAGGAAUCUUUAUGUAAGCGUGUUAUGGUAACACGUGGUGAGAGUAUUGUAAGAAACUUGGAUUCACGAGCAGCAGCUCUUAGUAGAGAUGCAUUGGCCAGAAUCGUUUACUCCCGUUUGUUUGAUUGGCUUGUGAAUAAGAUCAAUACUACAAUAGGACAGGAUCCUACUUCAAAGCUUUUGAUUGGUGUGCUGGAUAUUUAUGGAUUUGAAAGUUUCAAGACAAACAGUUUCGAGCAGUUCUGUAUCAACUUAACUAAUGAGAAGCUCCAGCAACACUUUAAUCAGCAUGUUUUCAAGAUGGAGCAAGAAGAAUAUACAAAAGAAGAGAUUGAUUGGAGUUACAUCCAGUUUGUGGACAACCAAGACAUUCUUGAUCUCAUUGAGAAGAAACCAGGGGGGAUAAUUGCUCUACUGGAUGAGACUUGCAUGUUGCGAAAUUCGAACCAUGAAAUAUUCGCUGAAAAGCUAUAUCAAAAAUUCAAGGACAAUCCACACUUCAGCAGGCCAAAAUUUUCACGGUCUGAUUUUACUAUUCAUCACUAUGCGGGAAAUGUUACAUACCAAACGGAUCUAUUCUUAGAUAAGAACAUAGAUUAUGCUGUAAACGAGCAUCAAGAUUUAUUACAUGCUUCUACAUGUCCAUUCGUUUCAAGUCUUUUUCCUCCUUCUGAAGAAUCGACUAAAUCGAGUAAAUCCACAAAGUUCACAUCAAUAGGUUCGAGCUUUAAGCAACAAUUACAAGGUUUGUUGGAAACUCUCAGCGGAACAGAACCACAUUACAUGCGCUGCAUAAAGCCUAAUAAUGUUCUCAAGCCAGCAAUUUUUGAGAACAGUAAUGUUCUCCAGCAACUUCGAUGUGGGGGGGUGCUAGAGGCAAUAAGAAUAAGCUGUCUAGGAUAUCCGACAAGGCGGACAUUUGAAGAAUUUGUUGAUCGCUUUAGUGUUUUACGACCAGAAGUUCUUGGUUUACGUUAUGAUGAAGUUACUGCCACAAACAUGCUCCUUGAGAAAGUAAAUCUCACAGGUUAUCAGAUAGGGAAAACAAAAGUGUUUCUGCGUGCUGGUCAGAUGGCUGAAUUAGAUGCUCGGAGGACUGAGGUCUUGAGCUAUUCUGCUAGUAAAAUCCAGCGAAAAGUUCGGUCGUUCCUGGCUCGCAGAAAUUUCAUUCAGCUGCGAAUGUCUUCUGUUCAGCUUCAGGCAAUGUGCAGAGGACAAAUUGCAAGGCAUUAUUAUGAAGAUCUCCGUAGGAAGGCUGCUUCAUUAAAAAUUCAGACCUACUAUCGUAUGCACUUUGCAAGGAAAAACUACAAAGAUCUCUAUUCUGCAUCAACUACUAUACAAUCAGCUCUUCGUGGUAUGGCUGCUCGCAACGAAUUCCAUUUCCGUCAGCAAACAAAAGCGGCAGUGACUAUUCAGAGUUGCUGCCGUAGUGAUUUAGCAAGCUCACGGUACAUGGGCUUAAAGAAGGCAGCGAUCACAACCCAAUGUGCUUGGAGAGGAAGGCUGGCCAGAAGAGAACUUCGAAAACUUAAAAUGGCUGCAAAAGAAAGUGGUGCUCUGCAAGCUGCAAAGAAUAAGCUGGAGAAGCAAGUUGAGGAGCUCACUUGGCGGUUGCAACUGGAGAAACGCAUGAGGACUGACAUGGAAGAAGCCAAGACGCAAGAAAAUAAGAAGUUGCAACAACAAUUACAGGAGUUGCAAUUCCAGUCCAAGGAGACAAAAGAUAUAUUAAGAAGGGAACAGGAAAAUGCAAAAACAGCAUUGGAGAAAGCUGCCUUAGUACCAGAGAUUCAAGUUGAUACAACUCACGUUGACAAGCUUACUGCUGAAAAUGAGAAUCUUAAGACACUGGUGGUUUCUCUCGAGACAAAAAUUGAUGAAACAGAACAGAAGUUUGAAGAAAUGAAGAAAGCCAGAGAAGAAUUGCUGAAGAAAGCUACAGAUGCGGAGUCAAAGAUAAAUGGACUGACCAACACAAUGCUAAGUUUUCAAGAAAAGUUGACAAAUAUGGAAGCUGAAAAUCAACUUCUCCGGCAGCAGGCGCUGUUGCAUUCUCGUCUGAAAACAAUAUCUGAGAACACUUCUCCCAAAUCUAAUUCGACUAAUGGCAGCCCACUCCAUGUGGAACAGAUGACACCUCAUGGCACUCCUCGAGCACCCAAGGAUUAUGGGAACUUCGCACAUCCAAGGGCAUCCUUUUCUGAGAGGCAGCAUGAGAGUGUGGAUGCACUUAUAAACUGUGUUACUGAAAAUAUUGGCUUUAGCGAAGGAAAACCAGUUGCUGCAAUAACCAUAUACAAAUGUCUUGUUCACUGGAAGAUCUUUGAAACAGAAAAAACAUCUGUUUUUGAUAGGCUUAUUCAAAUUUUUGGUUCUGCGAUGCAGAAUCAUGAUAGCAACGAGGAUCUUGCAUACUGGCUAUCGAACUCAUCGACUUUAUUGAUUAUACUACAAAAGAGCCUAAAAGCUGUUGGCUCAGCCGGAACCACUCCACAUAAAAGACCACAGAGUCAGUCAUCGUUCCUUGGGAGGAUGGUAUUUCGUACUUCAAACAUUACUGUCGAUAUGGAUCUUGUGCGUCAAAUCGAAGCCAAGUAUCCUGCAUUUCUUUUCAAGCAGCAACUUACAGCAUUUGUGGAAGGCUUAUAUGGAAUGAUCCGUGACAAUGUCAAGAAAGAAUUAUCUGCAUUGCUCUUGCAUGCUAUUCAGGUCCCGAGAAUUAUGAAAGCCAGUAUGGUAAGACGUUCAUUUGGGUCAUCAAGUUUGAGGGGGCGUUCAUUUUCAAAUCAAGGUAGCUAUUGGCUGGCGAUAGUUGACAAUUUGAAUGAACUCUUGAAUAUCUUGCGAGAAAAUUGUGUCCCUGCUAUUUUUAUUCGGAAGAUAUUUACCCAGAUUUUCUCAUUUAUCAACGCUCAACUUUUCAAUAGUCUUCUUGUGCGCCAUGAGUGCUGCUCUUUUAGCAACGGAGAAUAUGUAAAACAAGGAUUGGCACAACUAGAGGUGUGGUGUGGAGAAGUGAAACCAGAGUAUGCAGGAUCUGCAUUGCAUGAACUCAGGCACAUAAGGCAAGCUGUUGGUUUCUUGGUCAUAUUCAAGAAGUUCAGGAUUUCAUAUGAUGAGAUAGUCAAUGAUCUCUGCCCAGUGCUAAGUGUCCAGCAGCUCUACAAAAUAUGCACUCAGUACUGGGAUGACAAAUAUAACACAGAGAGUGUAUCUGAAGAAGUUCUUGACGAAAUGAGAACUUUGAUGACAGAGGAAUUGGGCCAUAAUGCUUCAGAGGGCGCCUUUUUACUGGAUGAUGAAAUAAGCAUGCCGAUAUCACUUGAGGAGAUAGCAGAUUCCAUGGAUGCUAAGGAAUUUCAAAACGUGGCCCCACCAUCAGAACUCGUCGCAAUGUCUGCCUUCCAGUUCUUGAAAAGUUGA